GCGGGUGUGGCGGAACUGGCAGACGCGCCGGACUUAGGAUCCGGUGCCCGUAAGGGCGUGCGGGUUCGACUCCCGCCACCCGCA
rnacentral:tRNA from 1 species